AUAACUGCGGUAUAUAUGUUUGCUAUUUUGGACAAUGUCUCAUCCAAGGGGCAAAUAUGACGAAGCAACUUCGACCAGUUGAUUUGGCUAUUCAACGCCAACACAUAUUUGAAACCUUAUGUGGGUCAUGCUACGAUGACAUUGACAGUGGACGAAAUGCAAGUGUCUGCAAAAUCUGCAGGGGGGAUGGUGGAGGUGACUGGCUGGGUU